AACGAACGCUGGCGGCAGGCCUAAUACAUGCAAGUCGAACGCUCCAGCAAUGGAGAGUGGCAGACGGGUGAGUAACGCGUGGGAACCUUCCCAGUGGUACGGAAUAGCUCAGGGAAACUUGAGGUAAUACCGUAUACGCCCUUCGGGGGAAAGAUUUAUCGCCAUUGGAUGGGCCCGCGUCGGAUUAGCUAGUUGGUGGGGUAAUGGCCUACCAAGGCGACGAUCCGUAGCUGGUCUGAGAGGAUGAUCAGCCACACUGGGACUGAGACACGGCCCAGACUCCUACGGGAGGCAGCAGUAGGGAAUAUUGGACAAUGGGCGAAAGCCUGAUCCAGCCAUGCCGUGUGAGUGACGAAGGCCUUCGGGUUGUAAAGCUCUUUUGGCGGGGACGAUAAUGACGGUACCCGCAGAAUAAGCUCCGGCUAACUUCGUGCCAGCCGCCGCGGUAAGAC
rnacentral:rRNA from 1 species